rnacentral:rRNA from 1 species
UACGAAGGGGGCUAGCGUUGCUCGGAAUCACUGGGCGUAAAGGGUGCGUAGGCGGGUCUUUUAAGUCAGGGGUGAAAUCCUGGAGCUCAACUCCAGAACUGCCUUUGAUACUGAAGAUCUUGAGUUCGGGAGAGGUGAGUGGAACUGCGAGUGUAGAGGUGAAAUUCGUAGAUAUUCGCAAGAACACCAGUGGCGAAGGCGGCUCACUGGCCCGGUACGUGACGCUGAGGCGCGAAAGCGAUGGGGAGCAA